rfam:Triticum urartu cultivar G1812 contig1138119, whole genome shotgun sequence.
UAAGACGGUCCGGAUUGAUGUUUUUUUCUCCAAAAUGUCAGGUCAUUAACCUUGAAAAAUUUGAGGGAUGACCUCAUUUAAUCUCCAGUAGCAACUUGACCUGAUAGGGGGAAAUUAUGCGUCUGGAUCGUCUUAC